CAGAACGAACGCUGGCGGCGCGUCUAAGCAUGCAAGUCGAACGGCAAGAGGUAGCAAUACCUCCUAGAGUGGCGGACUGGUGAGUAACACGUGGGUGACAUACCCUUCAGAUGGGGAUAGCUAUUAGAAAUAGUAGAUAAUACCGAAUACGAGCACAGGGGUUAGAGAUCUGUGAGGAAAGGAGCUAAGGCUCCGCUGAAGGAAUGGCCUGCGGCCCAUUAGCUAGUUGGUGAGGUAAGAGCCCACCAAGGCGAUGAUGGGUAUCCGGCCUUAGAGGGUGAACGGACACAUUGGGACUGAGAUACGGCCCAGACUCCUACGGGAGGCAGCAGCUAAGAAUAUUCCGCAAUGGACGAAAGUCUGACGGGGCGACGCCGCCGUGGAUGAAGAAGGCCGGAAGGUUGUAAAAUCCUUUUGAAACUGAAGAAUAAGCGUUGUAGGGAAUGACAGCGUGGUGACAGUAGGUUUUGAAUAAGCAACGGCUAAUUACGUGCCAGCCGCCGC
rnacentral:rRNA from 1 species